UGCCCUUGAUGGCGCCUUGAAUUUUCGUAAGCGGGCGGAAACAAGACGGGAAACUGUCUGAGCGAAGCGAGUUUUUCCCGUCUCCGCCCGGUUACGAAAAUUCAAGGGAUGGGUCGCCAUCUCGGGCG
rnacentral:miRNA from 1 species